rnacentral:rRNA from 1 species
AGAGUUUGAUCCUGGCUCAGAGCGAACGCUGGCGGCAGGCUUAACACAUGCAAGUCGAACGGUCCUUCGGGAUAGUGGCGGACGGGUGAGUAACACGUGGGAACGUACCCUUAGGUUCGGAACAACACAGGGAAACUUGUGCUAAUACCGGAUAAGCCCUUCGGGGGAAAGAUUUAUCGCCUUUGGAGCGGCCCGCGUCUGAUUAGCUUGUUGGUGAGGUAAUGGCUCACCAAGGCUACGAUCAGUAGCUGGUCUGAGAGGAUGGCCAGCCACACUGGGACUGAGACACGGCCCAGACUCCUACGGGAGGCAGCAGUGGGGAAUCUUGCGCAAUGGGCGAAAGCCUGACGCAGCCAUGCCGCGUGGAUGAUGAAGGUCUUAGGAUUGUAAAAUCCUUUCACCGGGGACGAUAAUGACGGUACCCGGAGAAGAAGCCCCGGCUAACUUCGUGCCAGCAGCCGCGGUAAU